AAUCGGUAGACGCUACGGACUUAAAAUCCGUUGGCUUUUAAUAGACCUUGAGGGUUCAAGUCCCUCUACCCCCA
rnacentral:tRNA from 1 species